UAUAAAUGUAAAUUUUGAACUAGGGUAGUAAUAGUUAUGUUCUUGAAACCCAAAGAAUUUGGCGGUAUUUUAGUCCUUUCAGAGGAAUCUGUCCCGUAAUCGACAGUCCACGAGAUAUUUUACUUAUUUUUGUUUUCAGUUUGUAUACCUCCGUCAUAAGAGAAUCUUAUUAGAGUUAAAUUUUCUUAAGAUAUAAAAUUUAAUAUGUCAGGUCAAGGUGCAAUUUAUAAAUAAGUGGAGAUGGAUUACAAUAAAUUUAUUUAAACGGAAUGGAAUAUUAGGUUUUUUAUGAAGGUGGAUUUGAUAGUAAUUUUAAUUAUUUAUUAUUAUGAUUUUGGCUCUAAAAUAUGC
rnacentral:rRNA from 1 species